rnacentral:rRNA from 1 species
GAUGAACGCUGGCGGCGUGCCUAAUACAUGCAAGUCGAGCGAACGGACGAGAAGCUUGCUUCUCUGAUGUUAGCGGCGGACGGGUGAGUAACACGUGGAUAACCUACCUAUAAGACUGGGAUAACUUCGGGAAACCGUAGCUAAUACCGGAUAAUAUUUUGAACCGCAGGGUUCAAAAGUGAAAGACGGUCUUGCUGUCACUUAUAGAUGGAUCCGCGCUGCAUUAGCUAGUUGGUAAGGUAACGGCUUACCAAGGCAACGAUGCAUAGCCGACCUGAGAGAGUGAUCGGCCGCACUGGAACUUAGACACGGUCCAGACUCCUACGGGAGGCAGCAGUAGGGUAUCGUCCGCAGUGGGCGAAAGCCUGACGGAGCGGCGCCGCGUGAGUGAUGGAGGUCUUCGGAUCGUAAAACUCUGUUAUGAGGGAAGAACAUAUGUGUACGUAACUGUGCACAUCUUGACGGUACCUAGUCAGAAAGCCACGGCUAACUACGUG